CUGUCCUGGUCCCGCUUCUCCUUUCCUCUUGUUAAAGUAAGCUGCCGUCACAGUAUAGUAUUUUGUGAAACUCUAGGCACAGACAGAGCCUGUGCCUGGGGAGGUAUGCAGCACUGGAAGGCUUGUUAUAAAACUCAUCCUCCAGCCAUGGUGAUGAGCCCCGCCCUUCCAUAGUUCAGAACCCAAGGCAUUAUAUGAUCGUGGGUGCCGCCGAGUCUCCUCACAUCUCCAGACUUGCUGUCCUUGGAGAAGCAGUCUGAGCAGCCACUGGGAAACUGCUUCUUCCCAAGCAAAGGCAGAGGAGAAAGGCAAUGCCUGCUCUCUCCUGUCAGUUCCACCAACUGAGGACCAAGAAGUCAAACAUAUGAGCCUAUGGAGACCGCUUUCAUUCAACCCACCACAUGGGCAUAUCUUUAUCACAGCGGUGAAACAGUGAAAAGUAAGCUGAUAGAGAGUUUACAUGAAGUGCUGUGCAUCGGCUAUUAGCAUCAAGCCCAGAAAUCCUGCCCAGAAGACCCACCCAUGGAGAGCACCAUCUCGAAGGCCCACCCAGUGGGCACAGCCUGGCUACAGCAUGGAACUGAGAUGGCAAGCACUGGGCACUCAGGAAGCAGGUGUCCUGCAUCAGCUCCCUACUUGCUGGCUGUAAGGAUGCUUCUCCCCUGCAUCUAGUGGAGCAUCAGCCAGUUCUGCCAUGCUGCUCAUGUGUCUAAGAGUCCUACUAAGGGCCCACUAUGUGCAUGAUGGCCCACUGUGCACAUGGUACUAAUUACGGGGCUUACUCUGUGGUUCUGACCAAGAGUCCAGAUGA